CGUAGCUAACGCGAGAAGUUGACCGCCUGGGGAGUACGGCCGCAAGGUUAAAACUCAAAGGAAUUGACGGGGACCCGCACAAGCGGUGGAUGAUGUGGAUUAAUUGAUGCAACGCGAAAAACCUUACCUGGUCUUGACAUGUACAGAACUUUCCAGAGAUGGAUUGGUGCCCGAAAGGGAGCUGUAACACAGGUGCUGCAUGGCUGUCGUCAGCUCGUGUCGUGAGAUGUUGGGUUAAGUCCCGCAACGAGCGCAACCCUUGCCAUUAGUUGCUACCAUUUAGUUGAGCACUCUAAUGGGACUGCCGGUGACAAACCGGAGGAAGGUGGGGAUGACGUCAAGUCCUCAUGGCCCUUAUGACCAGGGCUUCACACGUCAUACAAUGGUCGGUACAGAGGGUGCGAAGCCGCGAGGUGGAGCCAAUCUCAUAAAACCAUCGUAGUCCGGAUCGCAGUCUGCAACUGAUCGGAAGUCUGCGUCCAUGAGAGUUG
rnacentral:rRNA from 1 species